rnacentral:lncRNA from 1 species
CUCAGCUGCCCUCAGAGUCUGGGCUGGGGAGAGCCGGGGCCCACGAGGCGUGGCAAGGCGGGGAGAGAGAAGCUAGACCUCCCUGCUGCGCUUCUGCAGCGAAAAUGGAGAGACCCGGAAGGCGUGUGUGCGCCCGCCUCUCCCACAGGAGGGAGCGCGGAGACCCGGGAGCGGCCUAGGACCGGAGGCGCGACCCCUCGGCCCACCUUGAGGCCCGGCCUAGGACCGGAGGCGCGACCCCUGGGCCCACCUUGAGGCCCGGCCUAGGACUGGAGGCGCGACCCCUCGGCCCACCUUGCGGGAGCCGCCUAGGACCGGAGGCGCGACCCCUCGGCCCAGCUUGAGGCCCGGCCUAGGACUGGAGGCGCGACCCCUCGGCCCACCUUGAGGCCCGGCCUAGGACCGGAGGCGCGACCCCUGGGCCCACCUGGCGGCCCGGCCGGCACAGCCCGCCUCUCCUCUCCAGGCCAGGGCCCCACACCUUCCGCCUGACAGCCAGCCAAGCUCUUCAGUCCCCCGCCCUCCACCUGCCAGGGAGGCUCCGGGCGUUGUACCUGCCACCACGGGACGGAGUUUUGCUCUUGUUGCCCAAGCUGGAGUGCAAUGGUGCGAUCUUCGCUUACUGCAACCUCUGCUUCCUGGGUUCAAGUGAUUCCCCUGCCUCAGCCUCCCGAGUAGCAGGGAUUACAGACACAUAUACUCACAGAAAUGAGUUAUUUAAAGAAGACGGUCCAGAUUCCACAGUCCAAAAAAAAAAGAGGUUUGCCCUGCUUCUGAAGGAGUCAGGGUAUGAAUGCAGAGGUCUUCCUGUUGGCUCACAUAUCAGAUCUUCAACGUCAACAUUAAAUGCGAGUGAUGCUUCCCCCUCUGUGAAUGUGGCUUUGGGUAUGGCUAAUCCACACCCUGCACUCUGGCCUUCAGAAGCCCAGGGAGAGAAGCCUCCCAGAAGCAACCUUCCAGAACCUUCUCCAUCCUCCCACCGACCUCCCCAGCCCCUGUCCUCUCUUUGAAUCUCGUUGUCAAGUUCUUCCCGCAGACACCUGGCUCCUUGAGGGGAGGUGCAGCUUUCAUCUGACCAUGCAGGCGUGCUUUGCAGUGGGUAGAGCAGUGCUUUCCUCCUCCCAGCUGCACACUGGAAUCACCUGGAGAGUCCAGAAACUUCCCGCCUCAGUGAAAGAACAUCAGUGUAUCAGCACAGCAAAUAUUCCAAAUGCCAGGCUGGAUUCCCUCCAAUUACCAGGACCUCCAGGCUUCUCCUCCUUUCAAGAACUUUCUGACCCUGGAUCCAGUCUAAAUGUUGGUUAUAAACUCACCUGACAUCCACAGGGCCCUUCCAAAAUACUGUCAAGGCUGACUGCUGGUGCCUGGAACCUGCACACCCUCCUGGGACUCUGCAUCUCUGCUGGGGCUGGUUUCUCCUCUGAGCCACCUUAAGGAAUCCCACCCUGACCCGCAAUACCUGCCUGGCAGAGUUGUGAGAAUUAAAUGAGAUGAUGAAUACAUCUGCUCUCAGCACCACACCACACCUGUGGCAGUCCUCAGAGAGAAGAAUCACAGCUUUCAUUCAUUGAGAGCUCACUAAGUGCCAGAACCAUAGAGCUCAAAGCUUCUCAGCUCAACGGAGAACUCAGCACUUCUUGGACUGAUAAAUAGAGCAGCUUUAAAAUGCUUAGAACUGAAGACAGACCAACUGUGGC